GGCCGCGGGAAUUCGAUUCAGGCCUAACACAUGCAAGUCGAGCGGUAGAGAGAAGCUUGCUUCUCUUGAGAGAAGCGGACGGGUGAGUAAUGCCUAGGAAUCUGCCUGGUAGUGGGGGAUAACGUUCGGAAACGGACGCUAAUACCGCAUACGUCCUACGGGAGAAAGCAGGGGACCUUCGGGCCUUGCGCUAUCAGAUGAGCCUAGGUCGGAUUAGCUAGUUGGUGAGGUAAUGGCUCACCAAGGCUACGAUCCGUAACUGGUCUGAGAGGAUGAUCAGUCACACUGGAACUGAGACACGGUCCAGACUCCUACGGGAGGCAGCGGUGGGGAAUAUUGGACAAUGGGCGAAAGCCUGAUCCUUUCAGGGCCGCGUGUGUGAAGAAGGUCUUCGG
rnacentral:rRNA from 1 species